rnacentral:rRNA from 1 species
CUAUGGAUUGUAAACUGCUUUUAUACGAGAAGAAACACUGCUUCGUGAAGCAGCUUGACGGUAUCGUAAGAAUAAGGAUCGGCUAACUCCGUGCCAGCAGCCGCGGUAAUACGGAGGAUCCAAGCGUUAUCCGGAAUCAUUGGGUUUAAAGGGUCCGUAGGCGGUUUAAUAAGUCAGUGGUGAAAGCCCAUCGCUCAACGGUGGAACGGCCAUUGAUACUGUUAAACUUGAAUUAUUAGGAAGUAACUAGAAUAUGUAGUGUAGCGGUGAAAUGCUUAGAGAUUACAUGGAAUACCAAUUGCGAAGGCAGGUUACUACUAAUGGAUUGACGCUGAUGGACGAAAGCGUGGGUAGCGAACAGGAUUAGAUACCCUGGUAGUCCACGCCGUAAACGAUGGAUACUAGCUGUUGGAAGCAAUUUCAGUGGCUAAGCGAAAGUGAUAAGU